UAUGUUUCACAACUUUGAAUUCAAGGGAUGAGGGCUUCCAACUGAAGAAGGGAAAAUGUCCCAACUUGUAUUUUUUUGCUUCUUGAUUCUGUAAUGAAUAGGCCGGAGUAAGAUUUUUAAUUUUUAUUUCAAGAAGUGUCAGGGUUGAAUGUCUCUUAUUACACACCUCUGGUCAGAUGUCUGGAGUCCCUGGCAUCAUACCUCCUGGGUCAGAGACAGUUGCUCAAACCGUACCAGCCUCCCAACCUCCCAGAGGGCUGUCAAAACCCCAGCUCGGCCCCACCCUGGGGAUUCUGAUUCAGUCAGUCUCUGGUGGGUGGAGAGCUUGCAUUUCUAACCAGCUGCCCGACGAUGUGACGAUGUGACGUCGGUGCUCUUCUGUGCCUAGGAAUUACCUGUGUGGCUCUCUUAAGGAGGCUAGUGCUUAGUUCCUGCCCAGGCUUAAUGAGCCUGGUGCAGCCGGUGACAUCAGAAUUUCUGAAGGUGCUGGCCAGCUUGUGAAGUCUGAGAUUUACAGGAAGAGGCACAGACACAAUUAGGGUCCCUUGGAAUUCACGGACAACCUCCUUGGUCUCUUCCACAGGGGCCUGCCAGACAGGGCAUCUCAGAACGAAGGGAUGGAUGCCUUCCCCAGCCAUCUUUCCACUCUGUGACUUGAUCUUAUUCAUUUACAUAUCUAGAAAUGGUCUUAUGCAGCUCAGGCUGGCCUGGAACUGUCUACGUAGCUAAAGGUGACUUUAAACUCCUGGUCUUCCCGCCUCUCUCUACCUCUCAAGUGCUAGGACUAGAGUUGUGAGCCACCUCGCCCGCCCGGUGUCUACAGCCGUGACUUUGAAACCAAGGGAAACUAUUCGUUUGAGGCAGAAAGGUGUGGACCGGCCACUGUUCCAAUUAGGUGUCAUGCUGUGCAGCUGGUGUCUCUAGCAUCACCAUGACCCCAGCACUUUGAAGACUAGGGGGACAGAGUGACCUGAUGUCAGAAGAACCCUGGACAACAAAUUCCAGCCUGUGUCCUUCUGCCUGAAGCUCACGGGUGUGUGGUGCUGGGACAAACCCCUCUCCUCCAGGGGAUUCAGUUUCCUUAUCUGGGUAGGGUAGUUGGGCGGCCUAUUCUCCACCACACUCCACACCGUCCCUCCAUAAUUCCUAUUUGCUUUCAGAAGGUGCUAGACGUGCUGUCUAGACCCAGGCUGCCUCUCAAACUUCCCUCUCUUUCGGCCUUUGCUUCUUAUGGACAGGAGUGCACAGAGUAAAAUGUGAGAAAAUCACGUAUGUUAUCCAGAAGUAGGAGGGGCAGGGACCGGAAGUCCGCAGCAGAUCGGUGGCAUGCAUGAUGAUGCUGUGUUUGACCUGGCAACACACACACACACACACACACACACACACACACACACACACACACACACACGAGCACAACCUGAAGUCCCUCCUGACCUCCUUUUUAGGCCUUGCCUUGCCUGGGGUUCCAAAGGUGCUGCAGAGGACCAGAGGACCCCCCUGGGUGUGCUUUUCUGUGUCUCUCCUGGAAGGCUUUGCUGGGCAGGCAUCUUUGUGUUGUCUGUUAACACCAAUGACAGCUAAGUGUCCCGUGCUGCUUUCAAACUGGCUUUUGUGUCCGUUCUUGUCUAGUGCAUCCUUUGGUCCUCGCUCCCCUCCUCCGCCCCGUUCCUUUUCUUCUGCUCUAUAAUAUGCCUUACAAUGACUACCUCAUUGCUCACUAGAUGGUUCUCGGCGCACAACGCCACCAAUGCCACACAUUUGUGUGGCUUCCAGUGGCUUGUUAUUCUGUGCAGUCUUGCAAGGGAAACCACCAGGGCAGUAAGAGUGGAGAGCCCUGUGGCCCCCGGACCACGCUCCUGCUGUGUGCAGUGCUAUGCGUCUGCAGGACCCCCUUCACCCCCCACCCCCGCACCCCUACCAGUUCUUUAUAGGAUGGGGAUCAAGGCCACUGGUUCCAGCCGGCUCGCCGCUACCGAUUACAUAACUGAACCCAUGGAACCCAAAUUAAAAGAGGAAAUCAUCCUCCCGCCGCUCAACUCGCCUAAUCCCAGUCUGUCUCUGCCAUGCCCCCCCCACACACACACACCACCGCUCGCCUCCAAAGGUCUUGAGCGCGUUCCAGAUUUCUAAUUUCGUUUGCUUAUGCAACCAAAAAUAUGAUGGCCGCGUUUCCCGGGGGUGAUGGAGUCUGUACUCCCCGCUCCAGGCGCGCUAAAAACGGCAGCGCCGAGCUGCUCGCUGAAGCGGGGGCGACGCGGGCGGAGACGCGGUAUCCGCGGUGCUCAGUGGUCCCCAGCCUCCUCCUGAUUCUCACUGCCCGCUGACUCCUGCCUGCGGGGCGCUGGGGAUGCAUCUUUCACCCGAGAGCCCCACUCCCAACACCUGCUGGAAGACGCGUGUUGCAACAUUGUGCAUUCGGAAAUAGGAGAAAAAGAAAAAAGGAAAGGAAAUAGCAUGUCUCUCACCAGGGGAGGGAGGGAUGAAACAGGCAAGGAAUACCGAGUCGCCGAUUUAAAAGAAAGUAGGGUAGACUGAGACGCGUUGACGUGGAUCCGAUUGUUAAUUCGUUUUUUAAGUAAGCAGAGGAAAGAGAGAGAAUAUGAUUGUAUCUGUGUUUUUUAAUUUAAAUCUGUAAACGGGGCUGGGGAUGUAGCCCAGCUAAUGGGCUUGGAGGCCUGGGUUUCAUUCCUAGCACUACAUAAACUGAACAUGCUUGUGUACACCUGGAAUCCCAGCUGGAGGAGGAGGCAAGAGCAUCAGGCAUUCAGAGUCGUCUUCAGUUACAUAGUGAGUUCGAGGCCAGCCUGGGCUACAUGAGAUCCUGUCUCAAAA